rnacentral:rRNA from 1 species
CGGCACGGGUGCGUAACGCGUAUAGCAACCUACCAUCAACAGGGGGAUAACACUGAGAAAUUGGUACUAAUACCCCAUAAUAUCUCAUGCGGCAUCGCAUGGGGUUGAAAACUCCGGUGGUUGAUGAUGGGCAUGCGUUGUAUUAGCUGGUUGGUGAGGUAACGGCUCACCAAGGCGACGAUACAUGGGGGGACUGAGAGGUUAACCCCCCACAUUGGUACUGAGACACGGACCAAACUCCUACGGGAGGCAGCAG